rnacentral:rRNA from 1 species
GACGAACGCUGGCGGCGUGCUUAACACAUGCAAGUCGAACGGAAAGGCCCUGCUUUUGUGGGGUGCUCGAGUGGCGAACGGGUGAGUAACACGUGAGUAACCGGCCCUUGACUUUGGGAUAACUUCAGGAAACUGGGGCUAAUACCGGAUAGGAGCUCCUGCUGCAUGGUGGGGGUUGGAAAGUUUCGGCGGUUGGGGAUGGACUCGCGGCUUAUCGGCUUGUUGGUUGGGUAGUGGCUUACCAAGGCUUUGACGGGUAGGCGGCCUGAGAGGGUGAACGGCGACAUUGGGACUACGAUACGGCGCAGACUCCUACGGGAGGCAGCAGUGGCGAAUAUUGCCCAAUGGGCGGAAGCCUGAUGCAGCAACGCCGCGUGCGGGAUGCCGGCCUUCGGGUUGUAAACCGCUUUCGCCUGUGACGAAGCGUGAGUGACGGUAAUGGGUAAAGAAGCACCGGCUAACUACGUG